UUGGAGUUGACGUCACGCCGCAAUGCAUUGUGGGAGCGUGGCACCAUUUUCAGGGUCUACGAAUCAAAACAAACACACUGUGUUGGAACGACGAUUACAAGAUGCUUAAAAGCACCUCAAAAGAGAAUGGACUGUAUAGAGACCGAUUUCGUUCAGAGGCGAAGCGGCGGUACUUGCAGAAAAUAGCGUGCAUUGGAAAUGUGGACCCGUAUGAAAUACGGCCGUGGAGUAGAAACCCUGAAGACCAACCGCUAUUGACUAGCCUGACAUAUUUUCGUACCUUAUCUGUGGAAUCAGCACGUACAAGUCAUCAUUCAAACAAGCUGUGACCAAUUUGACCAACUCCCUGCAGCAACACGAGAGACGGACAGAAGACAAAGAGAGACGACUGAGAGGGCAGGCGGAUAAAGAGAGCAGAGUCGGUGGAGAGGAAGAAAAGGAAGAAACUGUCACUGGAAACCGUCUCCGUUUACAUUCGCAGUGAGCUCUGCAGCAAUCGAUCCAUAAACUGUGAGCAGCUAAUGUGCAGCUUCUUGGCCGUGCGAUGUCCAUCCCAUCCCGGUGCCUCAGAUCCUUCUCUUCUCUGCUUCUUUCUGUUCCUUCUUUUCGUCCUUUUACCAUGGGGGCCAGGGCUUUGAGUCGCUCUGCCCCUCAACUUUGGAAUUCCCUCAGAAACAUCACUUCAUUCCCCCUUUUUAAGUCCACCCUGAAAACCCACCUCUUCAAGAUAGCCUACGCUAUAUAACGUCUCCAUGCUCUUAAGCCUUCUUUUAUUAUUGUGUUUAUUUCCUGUUUUUAUGCUUGUCUGAUCUGCUCUGUACAGUGUCCUUGGGUGUU